rnacentral:rRNA from 1 species
UACGGAGGGCGCAAGCGUAGUUCGGAAUUACUGGGCGUAAAGCGCGUGUAGGUGGCUUGGCAAGUCGGGUGUGAAAUCCCGGAGCUCAACUCCGGAACUGCAUCCGAUACUGCCAAGCUCGAGUCUCGGAGAGGACGGCGGAAUUUCCGGUGUAGAGGUGAAAGUCGUAGAUAUCGGAAGGAACACCAGUGGCGAAGGCGGCCGUCUGGACGAUGACUGACGCUGAGACGCGAGAGCGUGGGGAGCAAACAGG